rnacentral:rRNA from 1 species
UACGAAUGUGGCGAGCGUUGUUCGGAAUCACUGGGCGUAAAGAGUACGUAGGCGGUUUGACAAGUCAGAAGUGAAAGCCCAGGGCUCAACCCUGGAAUUGCUUUUGAAACUGUUAGACUAGAAUGUCGGAGAGGUUGGCGGAAUUCCAAGUGUAGAGGUGAAAUUCGCAGAUAUUUGGAGGAACACCAGUGGCGUAAGCGGCCAACUGGACGACUAUUGACGCUGAGGUACGAAAGCGUGGGGAUCAAACAGG